UGCAAGGGUUUCCUCGGAUCAGAUGGAGAUUAGGCCUUUAGUGUAAAGGCAAAACAAAGUUUGAUUGCAAGACCCACCCAUCGAGUAAAGAUGGAAGUCAAUCUUAGUGAUCUGAUGGUGCCAAGUAGAAGGAUUGUCCCUCAA
rnacentral:ncRNA from 1 species